rnacentral:siRNA from 1 species
GCCCGACUGAGCAGGCGAAUUAC